rnacentral:rRNA from 1 species
AUAUCAAUAAGCGGAGGAAAAGAAACUAACAAGGAUUCCCCUAGUAACUGCGAGUGAAGCGGGAAAAGCUCAAAUUUAAAAUCUGGCGGUCUCUGGCCGUCCGAGUUGUAAUCUAGAGAAGUGAUGCCCGCGCUGGACCGUGUACAAGUCUCCUGGAAUGGAGCGUCAUAGAGGGUGAGAAUCCCGUCUCUGACACGGACUACCAGGGCUUUGUGGUACGCUCUCAAAGAGUCGAGUUGUUUGGGAAUGCAGCUCUAAAUGGGUGGUAAAUUCCAUCUAAAGCUAAAUAUUGGCGAGAGACCGAUAGCGAACAAGUACCGUGAGGGAAAGAUGAAAAGAACUUUGGAAAGAGAGUUAAACAGUACGUGAAAUUGCUGAAAGGGAAACGCUUGAAGUCAGUCGCGUUGGCCGGGAAUCAGCCUCGCUUUUGCGUGGUGUACUUUCUGGUCGACGGGUCAGCAUCAAUUUUGACCGUUGGAAAAAGGCUUAGGGAAUGUGGCAGCUUCGGCUGUGUUAUAGCCCUUUGUCACAUACAACGGUUGGGAUUGAGGAACUCAGCACGCCGCAAGGCCGGGUUUCGACCACGUUCGUGCUUAGGAUGCUGGCAUAAUGGCUUUAAGCGA